UACGUAGGGACCAAGCGUUGUUCGGAUUUACUGGGCGUAAAGGGCGCGUAGGCGGCGUGUUAAGUCAGCUGUGAAAUCUCCGAGCUUAACCCGGAAAGGUCAGCCGAUACUGCGGGGCUAGAGUGCAGAAGGGGCAACUGGAAUUCUCGGUGUAGCGGUGAAAUGCGUAGAUAUCGAGAGGAACACCUGCGGCGAAGGCGGGUUGCUGGGCUGACACUGACGCUGAGGCGCGAAAGCUAGGGGAGCGAACGGG
rnacentral:rRNA from 1 species